UACAGAGGUCCCGAGCGUUGUUCGGAUUCAUUGGGCGUAAAGGGUGCGUAGGUGGCGCCGUAAGUGGGGUGUGAAAUCCCGGGGCUUAACCCCGGGACUGCAUUCCAUACUGCGGUGCUUGCGGACUGGAGAGGAGACUGGAAUUUACGGUGUAGCAGUGAAAUGCGUAGAGAUCGUAAGGAAGACCAGUGGCGAAGGCGGCAUCCUGGACCGGCAUUGACGCUGAGGAGCGAAAGCCAGGGGAGCAAACAGG
rnacentral:rRNA from 1 species